rnacentral:rRNA from 1 species
UACAGAGGUCCCAAGCGUUACUGAGAAUCACUGGGUUUAAAGGGUGCGUAGGUGGUCCGUUAAGUCAGUUGUGAAAUCCCCGGGCUCAACCCGGGAAAUGCUUCUGAUACUGGCGGACUUGAGGCCAGUAGGGGUCACUAGAACUGACGGUGGAGCGGUGAAAUGCGUAGAGAUGUGGAGGAACACCAGUGGCGAAGGCGACUCUUUGGUCUGUAACUGACGCUGAGGCGCGAAAGCGUGGGGAGCAAACAGG